rnacentral:lncRNA from 1 species
AGUGAAUCUAUUUUUAUUAGUGCGUGAAUAUUUUGUUUCAAUAUCUUUUAAUAAUUUACUUUUUUCGUAAGAUAUGUUCAUUAAAUUUUUUUUUUAUCCUGUAGUAAUUGCAGAGUUACAAAUUUCUGUAUAAUAAUUUAUCCUAUCUGUGCUAUAAUGUAUAUCUAAUUCUAGAUUUUCAAUGUUAUUUAUUAUCUUGUGUUGUUCUUCUCGUAAUGAGUUUUUUAAAUUAUAUACACUAUCACAUGUAUUUUUAUCUAAAUUUUCUAAGGUUUUUUCUAUCCAUAUUAAUUUUUCUUUUAGGUCUUCCAUUAUUUUCCUAAUUCGGUUUCUAUAAUUAAUUUCAUUAUUUAGAUUUUCUUGAUUUUCUCUAGUUUGUCUAAUAUAUUCUAACAUUUUUUAAUCUGAAUAAUAUCCUUCUGGGUAACUUUCUUCGUAUAACUGUUCUAGACAAUUUGCAGUUUCAAUUUCAUAGUUUAUUACUUCUUCUAAUAUUAUUUUCUUGAUAUCUAUUAUUUUUAUAUCUUUAAGUAUAUAUAAGAUUAAAACUUUAAGAUAAUCUAGAUAAUCUAUCUUUUAAAAUUGGUUUUAUUAUAGUGUUUUGUAGUUGUUUGUUUUAGCCUUAGUAGUUUUUGCAUAUUUUUAUUAAGAAAUUUUAUAUCUUUAUUUUCCA